rnacentral:rRNA from 1 species
GACGAACGCUGGCGGCGCGCUUAACACAUGCAAGUCGAACGGAAAGGCCUGCUUUCCCUUGUGGUUUGCGGGUACUCGAGUGGCGAACGGGUGAGUAACACGCGAGUGAUCUGCCCUCAACUUGGGUAUAAGCCUGGGAAACUGGGUCUAAUUCCCGAUAGGACUGCAGGGUGGUGCCUGUGGUGGAAAACGAUCUUCUAGUGGUUGGGGAUGAGCUCGCGGCCUAUCAGCUUGUUGGUGGGGUAACGGCCUACCAAGGCGGCGACGGGUAGCCGGCCUGGGAGGGUGGACGGCCACAUUGAGACUGGGAUAAGACCCAGACUGCUGCGAGAAGCAGCAGAGGGGAAUAAUGGGCAGUGGGCGGGAGCCUGAUGCAGCGACGCCGCGUGGGAGAUGACGGCAUUGGGGUUGUAAACUCCUUGCGACCGAGAGGAGGCCACCUAGUUGGAAGGGUGGUGACGGUAGUGGUAGAAGAAGCACCGGCUAACUACGUG